rnacentral:rRNA from 1 species
CAAGGCAACCCGCUGAACUUAAG